CCCCAGCGCCCACUGGGGAUGGCAAAGACGACAUCCGGUGCGCCGAGGCUGCUCACAAAAUCACUCACCUGUGGCGCCCUUGGCCGCUCAGUCAAGGCUCUGAAUAUCCUGAGACUGCCCCACUGCUUGGAAGCCCCGGACACCAGAGAGUUUCCUGUAGGUCCUCCAGCCGAGCCCGAUGACCCCGGCAGGCCCGGGAGUGAUGUCCCCCUCUGGAUGAUCCCAACCCCUUGCUGUGGAUUCAGCCCCAGCCGUUGUUGUGUCUUUUGGGGACCUUGUCAGUUGCCUUCCAAGUGCUAAUUCUCAUGACGAGAUAAGAAUGGCUAUGACUGGGUGUUGAUUGAUGAGUCGAACACAUUGAAUCCUGGAGUUUGAGGUUAUCAGAACUCCCCACUUAGAAAAUCAUCCUUUAUAUUUUAGAAAAUCAUCAUUGUAUGUUGAACAUACAAUGCUUCUUUUUUCUUCAUCUCCAGUGCACUGGUCUAGAGAGCGGCAGUUGGACCCCAGAGUGUGGCACGUGUUCCUGUGUUCAUUUGAACAUUCUCUGAUGACCUGUCGCUGAGGUCCUGUGAUGAUGCGUAUCCUGUCUUCCACCCCAACUGCCACUGUGUUUCAACUGUCGCUGGCUGUGUUUCAACUGCCGCUGUGUUGGAACUGCCAGCUAGACUGCUCACCAAAAUGGGAGGCAGCCUCUGCUGCUGUGGUGAAGGUGAAGGCUUCUUCUACCGCCAGAAUUGGCGGUUUCUCUCGCUGGAUUCUUGGGACCUGAUCCAGGCAGCACACUCGACACACUCAGCGAUUCAGCUCUACAGUAUGCACUCUGGGAUCUCCCAUUUGCUAAGGAAGGAUCUUAGCUUUGAGAAAGGUGACACUUUCCUCCCUACUUUUGCUGGAGAACUACCCUGGUUUGAGCUUCCUGCUGGAAAUGAGUGGCAAGAGAUCCCCUCUUGAGGAGACUCCGCAGGAACACCAGAGAUGAUAGUGACACACAACAACUGAAGGCAGAGGUACAGGCUGAGGAGAAAGGUGUCAAGCCUGUGGCAGCAGAGCUUCCUGGGGAGUCCUCAGAGCAAGUCAUUGCCAUUGUCGAAGUGUCUUCUAGGCUUUAUUUUGGGGCCAUUACCUCGAGCACUGUUUCUUGUCUGGUUUCCUAAUGUCAGCAACUGAAGAAAAGACCUGUAUACACAGGACACAGCAUGGUCUGACGCUCACAGUGUUUUCCUUUCUCUCUGCAGAGGGAUUCAGCACUUUGGGCAAGUGGUUGCACAGAGGAUCCCGUGGAAGAAUUCAUAUAUGAAUCAGAUGAGAAUGCCCCAGGACCAUCGUAGAUACCAACAAGCCCUCUCCCGGCACCUGCAGAAAAAGUGGGGAAAAUCCCCGAAGAGGCAGAAACAUUCAUCCGGAAGGGCCGCCAGCCAGUGGAUUUCCCGGGCCCCUCAGCCCUCUGGAGUGUACGAGUUUUGGAGAAACCUCUUCCUCUGUAUAUGCUUUUGACUUUCCUGGACUGAUGUAAAAAUACUCUUUUCUUUGACCUGUUUAUUUUUAAGACACGAUGUGAUUGUGUCAGCUUAUAUUUUAUUGCUGAAGUAAAUUUUCAAAUGUUUUAUUAGUU
rnacentral:lncRNA from 1 species